GCUGAAAAAGCUGCUGUGUCUCUUGUGGCUCAUUUUCAAGGAGGGGACAGCAAGGUCUUACUCCCGAAUUUGAUGAGUUCUGAGUUGUUGUCCCAUGACUGAGAAGAAUGAGGUACACGGACACUGGAGAGUGAGUAAGGCAAAGUAGAAUUUAUUGAGUGACAGAACGGCUCUUGGCAGUGAGAGGGGACCCGAAGGUGGGUUGCUGGCCACGAGCCUGAGUCUAU
rnacentral:lncRNA from 10 species